rnacentral:rRNA from 1 species
GUAGGUGGCAAGCGUUGUCCGGAAUUAUUGGGCGUAAAGCGCGCGCAGGCGGUUUUUUAAGUCUGAUGUGAAAGCCCACGGCUCAACCGUGGAGGGUCAUUGGAAACUGGAGAACUUGAGUACAGAAGAGGAAAGCGGAAUUCCACGUGUAGCGGUGAAAUGCGUAGAGAUGUGGAGGAACACCAGUGGCGAAGGCGGCUUUCUGGUCUGUAACCGACGCUGAGGCGCGAAAGCGUGGGGAGCAAACAGGGAUUAGAUACCCUGGUAGCCCACGCCGUAAACGAUGAGUGCUAAGUGUUAGGGGGUUUCCCGCCCCUUAGUGCUGCAGCUAACGCAUUAAGCACUCCGCCUGGGGAGUACGGCCGCAAGGCUG